GGCCCUCGAAAAUACUUUUUAAAAAACUGUACUAAAGAAAAACAAGGAAAGAAGCUUUAGUCUGGGCUCCCCCUGGAGAAGAGGACGGAUGCACGCCAGAGCCAGGCGUGGCAGCAGGAAGGAGACGGUUGACUUUGUGCUCAGCCUCAGGAGAGGGCCGUGGCAAAGUAAUCUACAAUAUUACCUUCAUGUACUCUGAAAACUACUGGGAACUCUCUGAGUUCUAGUCAUUUUCUCUUUGCCCUUCAUGAGAGAGAAGAGGUGGGGAAGCCUGACUCAUAAGAAGC